rnacentral:rRNA from 1 species
AUUGAACGCUGGCGGCAUGCUUUACACAUGCAAGUCGAACGGUAACAGGGUGCUUGCACCGCUGACGAGUGGCGAACGGGUGAGUAAUACAUCGGAAUGUACCCAGUAAUGGGGGAUAACGCUUCGAAAGGAGUGCUAAUACCGCAUACGCCCUGAGGGGGAAAGUGGGGGACCGCAAGGCCUCACGUUAUUGGAGCAGCCGAUGGCUGAUUAGCUAGUUGGUGGGGUAAAGGCCUACCAGGGCGACGAUCAGUAGCUGGUCUGAGAGGACGAUCAGCCACACUGGGACUGAGACACGGCCCAGACUCCUACGGGAGGUAGCAGUGGGGAAUUUUGGACAAUGGGCGAAAGCCUGAUCCAGCAAUGCCGCGUGUGUGAAGAAGGCCUUCGGGUUGUAAAGCACUUUUGUCCGGAAAGAAAUGGCUCUGGUUAAUACCUGGGGUCGAUGACGGUACCGGAAGAAUAAGGACCGGCUAACUACGUGCCAGCCGCCGCAGUAAGAC